rnacentral:tRNA from 1 species
GAGGGUAUAGCUCAAGUGGUAGAGCACAUGCUUAGUUAGCUUGCAUGAGGUCCUGAGUUCAAUCCCCGGUACCUCCU